UCCAAUACUGCUGUUCCCUCUGUCUUCGAUC
rnacentral:piRNA from 1 species